UACGGAGGGGGCUAGCGUUGUUCGGAAUUACUGGGCGUAAAGCGCGCGUAGGCGGACCUGCAAGUCGGGGGUGAAAGCCCGAGGCUCAACCUCGGAACUGCCUUCGAUACUGCGGGUCUCGAGUCCGGGAGAGGUGAGUGGAAUUCCUAGUGUAGAGGUGAAAUUCGUAGAUAUCAAGAGGAACACCUGAGGUGAAGACGGGUUGCUGGGCCAACACUGACGCUGAGGCGCGAAAGCCAGGGGAGCAAACGGG
rnacentral:rRNA from 1 species